GACGAACGCUGGCGGCGUGCCUAAUACAUGCAAGUAGAACGCUGAAGAGAGGAGCUUGCUCUUCUUGGAUGAGUUGCGAACGGGUGAGUAACGCGUAGGUAACCUGCCUUGUAGCGGGGGAUAACUAUUGGAAACGAUAGCUAAUACCGCAUAACAAUGGAUGACACAUGUCAUUUAUUUGAAAGGGGCAAUUGUUCCACUACAAGAUGGACCUGCGUUGUAUUAGCUAGUAGGUGAGGUAAUGGCUCACCUAGGCGACGAUACAUAGCCGACCUGGGAGGGUGAUCGGCCACACUGGGACUGAGACACGGCCCAGACUCCUACGGGAGGCAGCAGUAGGGAAUCUUCGGCAAUGGGGGCAACCCUGACCGAGCAACGCCGCGUGAGUGAAGAAGGUUUUCGGAUCGUAAAGCUCGGUUGUAAGUCAAGAACGGGUGUGAGAGUGGAAAGUUCACACUGUGACGGUAGCUUACCAGAAAGGGACGGCUAACUACGUG
rnacentral:rRNA from 1 species